UCGCGGUGGAGGUAAAAGCCUAUGUCCUGCUUCAUUGAUAUUGAUGAUAAUGAUCACGAUUACAAGGGAUCUCUAUCUUGAGAGCUAUUGAGUUGUCUGUCUAAACCUAACUUGUAAAAACCUGUCCUCUUGGGGUGCCCUGCCCCUCCUUAUAUAAGUUAGAGGGCUGGGUUACAUGUGGAGUCCUAUUAGGACUAGAACUAGUCUACCUUCUAAUACAAACCGGAUACAAGUCCAGGUCUUAACUCCUUGUAAGGUAAAUAUUCCUCACGCCUUUCCUCUUAAACCGGCCCACCAUUAACAUAAACCAGCCUUCUGGGCCUUGGGCCUUGUCAUCCGUCUGUCCCACCUGCGAGGUUACCAGUGAGUCAUAAUGUUCAAGCAGGUUCCUUUUAAACUGUUUGGUCAGGGCGGGUCGCCAGUGAAUCACCAAGUGUAAACCGGGUCUCAAGUAAACCGCCAAGUCCGGCCGGGUCAUAUUUCCGGCCGGGUCAUAGCGUGGGGUAUAUCCCCGACAGUACCCAAUCGUUUCCUUUGGGUAUCCUAUGAAGACGCAUUUCUCUGAUUUGUGUUUGAGCUUAUCAGGUUGAAGCUUUUUCACAUAAGCAUCGCAACCCCAACCUUUAAGAAACGAUAGCUUAGGUUUCUUGCCAAACCACAGUUCAUAUGGGGUCGUAUCAAUGGACUUAGAUGGUGCCCUAUUUAAUGUGAAUGGAGCCGUCUCUAAAGCAUAGCCCCAAAACGAUAGUGGUAAAUUAGUAAGAGACAUCAUAGAUCACACCAUAUCUUAUAAAGUACGGUUACGACGUUCGGACACACCAUUAUGUUGUGGUGUUCCAGGUGGCAUGAGUUGUGAAAUUGUUCCACAUUUUUUUAAAUGAAGGCCAAACUCGUAGCUCAAAUAUUCAUGUCCGCGAUCAGAUCAUAGAAACUUUAUUUUCUUGUUACAAUGAUUCUCCACUUCACUCUGAAAUUCUUUGAACUUCUCAAAUGUUUUAGACUUGUGUUUUGUCAAGUAGAUAUACCCAUAUCUGCUCAAAUCAUCUGUGAAGGUCAGAAAAUAAUGAUACCCACUGCGAGCCUCAACACUCAUCGGACCGCAUACAUCGGUAUAUAUUAUUUCCAAUAAGUUAGUGGCUCGCUCCAUUGUUUCGGAGAACGGAGUCUUAGUCAUCUUUCCCAUGAGGCAUGGUUCACAAGCAUCAAAUGAUUCAUAAUCAAGUGAUUCCAAAAGUCCAUCUGCGUGGAGUUUCUUCAUGUGCUUUACACCAAUAUAACCUAAACGGCAGUGCACAAAUAUGUUGCACUAUCAUCAUCAAUUUUGCAUAUUUUGGCAUUAAUAUUAUGAAUAUGUGUAUCACUAUGAUCGAGAUUCAAUAAACCAUCGAGUGCAUGACCAUAGAAGGUUUUAUUCAUUUAAACAGAACAACAAUUAUUCUCUCACUUAAAUGAAUAAUUGUAUUGCAAUAAACAUGAUCUAAUCAUAUUCAUGCUCAACGCAAACACAAAAUAACAUUUAUUUAGGUUCAACACUAAUCCCCAAGGUAGAGGGAGUAUGCGACAGUGAUCUUAUCAACCUUGUAAUCUCUUCCAACACACAACGCCACUUUGCCCUCAACCAGUCUCUGUUCAUUUUGCAACUCCUGUUUCGAGUCACUAAUCUUAGCAACUGAACCAGUAUCAAAUACCCUGGGGUUACUAUGAACACUAGUAAAGUACACAUCAAUAACAUGUAUAUCAAAUGUAGCUUGGUUCACUUUGCCAUCCUCCUUAUCCGCCAAGUAUUUGAAGUAGUUCCGCUUCAAAUGACCAUUCCUUUUUGAAGUAGAAGCACUCAAUUUCAGGCUUAGGUCUAGCUUUGGGCUUCUUCAUGGGAGUGGCAACUUGCUUGUCAUUCUUCUUGAAGUUCCCUUUAUUUUCCUUUUCCAUUUUUCUUGAAACAAGUGGUUUUGUUAACUAUCAACACUUGAUGUUAUUUCUUGAUUUCUACCUUCGCCAAUUCAGCAUCGCGAAGAGCUUGGGAAUUGUUUCCGUCAUCCCUUGCAUAUUAUAGCUCAUCACGAAGUUCUAGUAACUCGGUGAUAGUGACUAGAGAACUCUGUCAAUCACUAUCUUAUCUGGAAGACUAACUCCCACUUGAUUCAAGUGAUUGUAGUACCCAGACAUUUUGUGCAUAUGCUCACUGGUUGAGCUAUUCUCCUCCAUCUUGUAGGCAAAGUACUUGUCAGAGGUUGCAUACCUCUCAACAUGGGCAUGAGUCUAAAAUACCAAUUUCAAAUCUUGGAGCAUAUCAUAUGCUCCGUGGCGUUCAGAACGUUUUUGAUGUCCCGGUUCUAAGCCGUAAAGCAUGGUGCACUAAACUAUCAAGUAGUCAUCAUACCGAGCUUGUCAAAUGUUCAUAAUGUCUGCAUCUGCUCCUCCAAUAGGUCUGUCACCUAGCGGUGCAUCAAGGACAUAAUUCUUAUGUGCAGCAACAAGGAUAAUCCUCAGAUCAUGGACCCAGUCCGCAUCAUUGCUACUAUCAUCUUUCAACUUAAUUUUGGGACUAACCUAGAUAUGCAAAUACCAUCAGGACUAAGUUCAUGAUAAAUUAAGUUCAUUUAAUCAUAUUACUUAAGAACUCCCACUUAGAUAGACAUCCCUCGAGCCAUCUAAAUGAUCACGUGAUCCAUAUCAACUAAACCAUGUCCAAUCAUCACGUGAGAUGGAGUAGUCUUCAAUGGUGAACAUCUCUAUGUUGAUCAUAUCUACUAUAUGAUUCAUGUUCGACCUUUCGGUCUCGAGUGUUCCAAGGCCAUGUCUGUACAUGCUAGCUAGGCUCGUCAAGUUUAACCUGAGUAUUCCGCAUGUGCAAAACUGUCUUGCACCAAUUGUAUGUGAAUGUAGCGCCUAUCACACCCAAUUAUCAUGUGGUGUCUCAGCACGAAGAACUAUCGCAACGGCGCAUACUCAGGGAGAACACAUAUACCUUGAAAUUUAGUUAAGGGAUCAUCUUAUAAUGCUACCGCCGUACUAAGCAAAAUAAGAUGCAUAAAAUAUAAACAUCACAUGCAAUCAAAAUAUGUGACAUAAUAUGGCCAUCAUCAUCUUGUGCCUUUGAUCUCCAUCUCCAAAGCACCGUCAUGAUCUCCAUCGUCCCCGGCUUGACACCUUGAUCUUCAUCACAGCGUCGUUGUCAUCUCGCCAACUAUUGCUUCUACGACUAUCACUACCGCUUAGUGAUAAAGUAAAACAAUUACAUGGCGAUUGCAUUUCAUACAAUAAAGCAACAACCAUAAGGCUCUUGCCAGUUGCCGAUACCUUUUACAAAACAUGAUCAUCUCAUACAACAAUUUAUAUCUCAUCACUCUUGACCAUAUCACAUCAAAACAUGCCCUGCAAGAACAAGUUAGACGUCCUCAACUUCAUUGUUGCAAGUUUUACGUGGCUGCUAUGGGAUUCUAGCAAGAACCGUUCUUACCUACGCAUCAAAACCACAACGAUUUUUGUCAAGUGUGAUGUUUUAACCUUCAACAAGGACCGGCCGUAGUCAAAUUGGAUUCAACUGAAGUUGGAGAAACAGACACUCGCCAGCCACCUGUGUACAAAAGCACAUCGGUAGAACUGGUCUCAUGAACGUGGUCAUGUAAUGUUGGUUCGGGCCGCUUCAUCCAACAAUACCGCCGAAUCAAAAUAAGACGUUGGUGGUAAGCAGUAUGACUAUUAUCGCCCACAACUCUUUGUGUUCUAAUUGUGCAUAUCAUCUAUGCAUAGACCUGGCUCGGAUGCCACUGAUGGGGAACGUAGCAUGCAAUUUCAAAAAAAUUCCUACGAUCAUGCAAGGUCUAUCUAGGAGAUGCAUAGCAACGAGAGAGGGAGAGUGUGUCCACGUACCCUCGUAGACCGAAAGCGGAAGCGUUAGGUUAACGCGGUUGAUGUAGUCGAAUGGCUUCACGAUCCAACCGAUCUAGUACCGAACGCACGACACCUCCGAGUUCAGCACACAUUCAGCUCGAUGACGUCCCUCGAACUCUUGAUCCAGGAGAGGGUCGAGGGAGAGUUCUGUCAGCACGACAAUGUGGUGACGAUGAUGGUGAUGUGAUCCGUGCAGGGCUUCGCCUAAGCACUACGACGCUAUGACCGGAUGAGUAAACUGUGGAGGGGGGCACCACACACGGCUAAGAGAACAGUUGAUGUGCUAUGGGGUGCCCCCUGCCCCCGUAUAUAAAGUAGGGGAGGAGGAGGCGGCCGUCUAGGAGGGGCGCGCCACGGGGAGUCCUACUAGGACUCCUAGUCCAAGUAUGAUUAGCCCCCCUCUUUUCCUUUUCUUGGAGGUGGAAAAGGGGAAGGCAAGGGAGUAGGAGAAGGAAACGGGGGUGGCGCCCCCUUCCCUAAACCAAUUCGGCCUCCUCCCUUGAGGGGGGCGCACCAGCCCCUUGUGGGCUGGUUAGCCUCCCUCGUAUGGCCCAUAUGACCCAUAUCUUCCCCCGGGGGGUUCCGGUAACCCCUUCGGUACUCCGGUAUGUACCCGAUACACUCCAGAACCCUUCCGGUGUUCAAAUACUACAUUUUAAUAUAUCAAUCUUUACCUCUCAACCAUUUCGAGACUCCUCGUCAUGUCCUUGAUCUCAUCCGGGACUCCGAACAAACUUCGGUCACCAAAACACAUAACUCAUAAUAGAAAUCAUCAUUGAACGUUAAGCGUGCGGACCCUAUGGGUUCGACAACUAUGUAGACGUGACCGAGACACAUCUCUGGUAAAUAACCAAUAGCAUAACCUGGAUGCUCAUAUUGGUUCCUACAUGUUCUAUGAAGAUCUUUAUCGGUCAGAUGAUACGUCUCCAAUGUAUCUAUAAUUUUUGAUUGUUCCAUGCUAUUAUAUUUUCUGUUUUGGAUGUUAAUGGGCUUUAUUUUACACUUCUAUAUUAUUUUUGGGACUAACCUAUUAACCCAAGGUCCAGUGCAAAUUUCUAUUUUAUUUCCCAUUUUAGUGUUUCGGAGAAAAGGAAUAUCAAACAGAGUCCAAACAGAAUGAAACCUUCGGGAGAGUUAUUUUUGGAACGGAAGCAAUCCAGGAGACUUGGAGUAGACGUCAGGGAAGCUUCGGGGAAGCCAUGAGACAGGGAGGCGUGCCCUACCCCCUGGGCGCGCCCCCACCCUCGUGGCUCCCCUGACCGACUUCUUUCGCCUAUAUAUAUCAAUAUGCCCUAAAACAUCAGAGAGCAGAAUAGAUUGGGAGUUCUGCCGCCAGAAGCCUUCGUAGCCACCAAAAACCAAUCUAGACCCGUUCCGGCACCCUUCCGGAGGGGGGAAUCCCUCUCCGGUGGCCAACUUCAUCAUAUUUGGAUCCAUGGCGAGGAGGGAGUAGUUCACCCUCGGAGCUGAGGGUAUGUGCUAGUAGCUAUGUGUUUGAUCUCUCUUUCUUGUGUUCUUGAGUCGGCAUGAUCUUGAUGUAUCGCAAGCUUUGCUAUUAUAUUUGGAUAUUAUGAUGUUUCUUCCCCUCUACUCUAUUGUGAUGGAUUGAGUUUUCCCUUUGAAGUUAUCUUAUCGGAUUGAGUCUUUAAGGAUUUGAGAACUCUUGAUGUAUGUCUUGCACGUGCUUAUCUAGGAUGACAAUGGGAUAUCAUGUGAUCCACUUGAUGUAUGUUUUGGUGAUCAACUUGCGAGUUCCGUGACCUCGUGAACUUAUGCAUAGGGGUUGGCACAUGUUUUCAUCUUGACUCUCUGGUAGAAACUUUGGGGCACUCUUUGAAGUACUUUGUGUUGGUUUGAAUAGAUGAAUAUGAGAUUGUGUCAUGCAUAUCAUAUAAUCAUACCCGCGGAUACUUGGAGGUGACAUUGGAGUAUCUAGGUGACAUUAGGGUUUUGGUUGAUUUGUGUCUUAAGGUGUUAUUUAAAUACGAACUCUAGGGCUGUUUGUGACACUUAUAGGAAUAACCCAAUGGAUUGACCGGAAAGAAUAACUUUGAGGUGGUUUUGUGCCCUACUAUAAUCUCUUCGUCUGUUCUCCGCUAUUAGUGACUUUGGAGUGACUCUUUGUUGCAUGUUGAGGGAUAGUUAUGUGAUCCAAUUAUGUUAUUAUUGUUGAGAGAAUUUGCACUAGUGAAAGUAUGAACCCUAGGCAGUGUUUCAAUACAUUGCAAUACCGUUUGUGCUCACUUUUAUCAUUAGUUAUCUUGCUGUUUUUAUAUUUUCGGAUUACAAAAACCAUUAUCUACUAUACAUAUUGCACUUGUAUCACCAUCUCUUCGCCGAACUAGUGCACCUCUACAAUUUACCAUUAUAUUGGGUGUGUUGGAGACACAAGAGACUCUUUGUUAUUUGGUUGCAGGGUUGCUUGAGACACUACAGGAAACAGGAGAUUUGCCAACAGUACUGCUCUUUGCCGUCAGCAUUUCAUCGGGGCAGACGGCAACGAGCAAUUUUACCGACAGCGGCUGAUGGCAAAGAACGGAUGACAACAAAUACAUAUUUUGCCGUCUGCAAAAAAAACCACAGACGGCAAAAACGCUUUGCCGUCAGCACAUUUUUUAUAGACGUAAAAUAACAUACUUUGCCGUUUAUAAAUAAAAUUGCAGACGGUAAAGUGUCUUUGCCAUCUGUGGUUUUUUGCAGACGGCAAAGUAUGUGAUUUGCCAUCUGUAAAUAAAAUUGCAGACGGCAAAGAGAAAGCACAACCCACGGAUUGAUCUCGUGGAUCGAUGACGUGGCAGCAGAUCCGCAGCCCACCCCGAGAUCCCAGCAACAGCCACACCACGAUCUCUCUCGCGGCCCCACCACUCACCACAAUCCAUCCCCACCACAAACCCCCUCCCCCUGCCUUAUCCUCUCGCACACCUCUCUCUCUCUCUCAUACCUGUCUCUUCGUGCGCAGGUAGGCUGCCGCUCGUCCCAUCUGCUCGGCCGCCGCUUGCUCCAUCUUCCCCAGCCGCCGCUUGUGCCACCAGACCCUGCCGCGGCUGCCCCUUGCCCCAUCUGCCCCGGCCGCCGCUCGCGCCACCAGCCCCUGCUCGGCCGCCGCUCGCAGCCCCGGCCCCUGCUGCAGCUCGCCUCACCGGUCCCGGCCACAACUCCACCACUCAUCGCCCCGGCCGCUGCUCGCCCCACUGGCCCCGGCCGCUGCUCCGCCACUCACCGCCCGGACCAACACUCCGCCACCCUGCGCUCCUCUUCCCUGUGCCUAAGCUCCAGCGAACUCACCUCCGGCAACUGCUCCUCCACGCCCGCGCCCUUCUUCCUCUCCUCCGUCGCUCAGCUGCUGCUCUGGCCAUGGCCGUUGUCGUCCGCUGCUGCUCCGGCCAUGGCUCCGCCGUCCAUUGUUUCUCCGGCCGCUGUCGUCCGCUGGUACUCUGGCCACCAUCGAGCGCGACUAUGCGGUGGCGCGACAAGUAGGACCGGGCGAGCGCGGCUGUGCGGUGGCGCGGCGAGUAGAGCCGGGCAGCAGCAGUGGAGUCCCUGGCGAGAGGAAAGACGACCGGCAAUGAAGUACAUGUUGCUGCAGUGGAGAAGAAGGACUUGAUUGUUUUUCAUUUUUACUUAGUGGGGUCCUUUGUGUAAAUUUUUAGGACAACUCUGUAACUGUAACUUCUCUGUUCAUCGUUGAUUCUUAGAACAAAGUGUCGAUGAAUACUGUGGUGUUCAUCGUUGUCUGUUAGUUCCUUGUAGCCUUUGCACAUGGACUGUUAGUUUAGAUUAUUUUAAUAGGAAAACUUCUUUGAUGUCUGUGAUUUUAUGAGGCUCACGGCAAAAGAGCACUUUGCUGUCUGUGAUUCUGUGAGGCUGACGACAAAGGAGCUCUCCUUUGCCAUCUGUUACCAAAUCGGCUGACGGCAAACGAGUUUUUCUUUG
rnacentral:lncRNA from 1 species